rnacentral:rRNA from 1 species
CCCUUAGAUGCUCUGGGCCGCACGCGCGCUACACUGGUCGAUGCAACGAGUUUCUUUCCUUGGCCGAUAGGCCUGGGCAAUCUUUGAACAUCGAUCGUGAUCGGGAUAGAUUCUUGUAAUUUUUGAUCUUAAACGAGGAAUUCCUAGUAAACGCAAGUCAUCAGCUUGCAUUGAUUACGUCCCUGCCCUUUGUACACACCGCCCGUCGCACCUACCGAUUGAAUGGUCCGGUGAAAUCUCCGGACUGGCGUGAGUCGGAGCAAUCUGACAAACACCGGAAAGUUGAUUAAACCUUACCAUUUAGAGGAAGGUGAAGUCGUANCA